ACUGUGAUUGUCAAUUAAGGUUUUUUUUACCCUUCCGUCGAUUCCGAUGAUUAGCCUUCCAACUGUCGUUAGCCUCUCUUCUGCUCGUCAAUCAACUUCUAUUUCCUCCAUGUCGCAUCAAACUCUCUCUCCUUUGUUGGUACUUGCUCUCUCUCUCUCUCCCCACUCUUUUCCUUGAACAGUCAAGGUUUGUUUCUCUUCUAUUGGCGUUGAUUCAAGAAUUCCAAGUUUUGUAUAGUAAGUAUCGAUUCUUGUGGUUUUUAUUCAUUUUUUCGUAUUGGUGAUGCGAUUUACUAUUAGCUUAUUAUUCUUUUAAUAAUAGUUUUGCAUGGGACUUGAAUCUAAGAUUGAUUGGUUUUGUAUUGGGUUUAAAAUAUGUAUCUUUUGACGAGAUGAAUAAUUUAGGUUUAUGCUCUUCUAUUUUCAAGCUGUCUUAUGUUACGGAUUUUGAUUUCAUUAGAAUUAUUUGUUGAAUAGUUUUGCAUGGGACUUGAAUCUAAGAUUUGAUUGGCUUUGUUGAAAAUCAAUUAGUUCAAUAGUUUUUAUUUUUAUUUUUGAAGUUCAAUAGUUUGAGUAGCAUUAAUUUGACAAACAAUGUUUGUAAGUUUGUAACAUUUGAAAUGGAAUCAAUUUCAAAUAACGUCCCUUUUACAUGCUACACAAAGUUGGCAGGGAUCCCAUUUUCUUUAUGAUAAAUGAUUCUAGCCUAAAAUAUUUUCUAAUUGGAGAAAUCGUAUGAUCACCAGCACAUAGAUAUUGAUUUAGUUCUUGCCAUUCCCAUUUUCUUCUUCUCAUUUUGUUGUUUGUGGUAUGUUUGCCUUCGACGGCCAGCGUCCCAACUAUUGUUAGCCUCUCUUCUGCCCAUCGGUUAUCUUCCGUUCCCCCUCCUGUUGUGUCGGACUCUCUUUGCUCUAUCAGUACCUCCUCUCUCUCUCUUCCCACUCUUUCCCCUAACGCCACGCCGCCAUUUGUUUCUCUUCUAUCUGUGUCUCCUUUACGCACUUUGGCUGAACAGGUAAGGUAAAAGUUAGCUUAAUAUUUGUAUUUGUGUUUUAUUUUUUUUUUUGUCAAAUUUAUGACUUUGUUUUAAAUUUAUGUUUAAUUUUUUGCUUUUUAAUUUACAGAUUUUCCCCAUCAAACAUUUCUUAUGAUAGGCAAGUUGUAAUUUUACUUGGAUUGAUUUUGUCUAAUUAUUUUAGUUUCAAUGUAAACCUUUUGCAACAUUUUAUAGUUUUAUGUAGAAAGAUAGUUUCAAUUCUUCUCUUUGUUGUAGAGAAGAGUUGUCUUGAAGCAUGAAAAAUGGAAGAUAGGUCUUCUGAUAGAGAAUAGAUGGGUGCUUCAGGCUUUGGAGCAAGGAUAUGACAAAAAAAAGAAUAUAGUGUCUUAAUCAUCUGUAGCCAACAACUAGGAACUUGGCUAGCUAGGUAUUUCCCCAUGAAAACAACAAGAUUUGGCUGCAACCCAGAAAUAAUAAUAGCAAAUCCUAAUUUAAUGCUUCACCUUUCAAUGAAUAAGGUUUUGGAUCUCUACCUUUCACCUUUCAACGAAUUUAAAGCUUAUUGGGUACUAACAGAAAAAUAAUUUCGUUAUUUUUUUGUAAGCCUAUAUUGGAUAUUCAAACGCAAUUAAAGGUUUAAUUAAUUGCAACAAAAAGUCUCCUCACAAAGUUUCUUGUAGAUUUCACAUCGAGAUAGAUGUUAGGCUUUUGAAUUUGUAUUAAUGUUAUUUUUAACUGUAAACAUUAACAAAGAAAGCGGCGGUCAGGUAAAUGGUGGCCAAUCCUCGAACUGUUGUGAACCCUUUAAAGGCCUAGUCCCCUGCUUUGCUUGCGCACCCCAUCUUCACUCUUUCUCUAUAUGAGAAUUUACUCCAGGGCACAAGUUAGAGGCAUGGCUAUUCCAAAACAGAAGGUUUAUCAGCCAGCUCCACAUCAGAACCAAGCCAAUAGAGUUUCUCCACUAAUGCAGGUCAAUGCUGUCCACUGAAAUCCUGUUCAAGGCAGGGCUCAGUCUUCUGUACAAGCAGUUGCUCAGUAGUUGUUCAAGGAAGCAGUAGAGGUUCUUUUAUGUAUGGUGGAGCUCAGAUUAUAGGAGCUAUGGGGAAUAUGGCUAUCAGCCAUGGUGAUAAAAAAUUUCCUGCAUUUUUGCCAGGUAAAGCUUUCAUGUUUUUAAUCUUUGAUAUAUCUGGAUAAUAUAAUCUACCAUGCAAGGAAAAAUGGAGAAUGGGUGAAACGCAACUUACCUGGAAUGAUGCAUACUAAGGCUUAGGCUAUAUUUUUUCAAAUUUUAUAUGAAUUAAAUUAGUAAAUAUUAGAUGUAAUUUUCAUUAAAUGCCUGUGAUGGCCUCUUGGCUAAUAUCAGAUAAAAUUCCUUUGAGAAAGCAACAAGUUAGAAUGUUUAUCCUUACUUGAUGAGUGCUUGCAGCUCCAGUUAGAGCAAAUGCCAAGGUCAUAAUCUUGCUUCGUCCAGCUCACAUUCAGUUGCAUAGAAAAUAUAUAACUAUUUAUUACAUAAUAAGCCGAUGACAGGUAGCUCACAACUAGCUGGUGGUGCAAGGUAGACUGGCUCCGGAGCCACCUCAGGUCGAGAGUGCCCAUUGCCAACACUUUGAAGUUUAUCAUCAAAUCCCCACAAAUUGGCAGAUUUGAUAUCAUCCUGGAUCAUUUGUCUGGAGAAUUCUCCAUGAUUGUACUGCAAUACAGCCUUUCCUCUAAACUAAGUUGGCAGAUUUUCCUCAUCAAAAUAUGAUCUCAUGAGCUCCACGUUGUCUUUAUUCUUGAGGUCAAAUUCGCAUGAGCAACAACGUAUAUUGCUAAUGCAAUACACUGACGUGAUGCUUAGUGGAUGGAGCAAUUCUCAUCACGACCAAGAGAAUGAUUCAUUGCAGCAUAAAUCCAAGUUCUUCCAUUUGGUGUAUUUGAUAGAGAAUGCUAUCCUAAACCUUCCAGAGGGUCAAGUAUAGACGGCAUGGUUGAUAUUUGAUGCAGAUGGAAACUUUGUUGAACAUAUCAUUGACAAUGAAAUCAAGGUAAAUUAUCUUAUUGAUCUAAAACUGCUAAAUUAUUAUAU